UACGGGAGGCAGCAGUGGGGAAUAUUGCACAAUGGGCGCAAGCCUGAUGCAGCCAUGCCGCGUGUAUGAAGAAGGCCUUCGGGUUGUAAAGUACUUUCAGUCGUGAGGAAGGUGUUAAGGUUAAUAACCUUAGCAAUUGACGUUAGCGACAGAAGAAGCACCGGCUAACUCCGUGCCAGCAGCCGCGGUAAUACGGAGGGUGCGAGCGUUAAUCGGAAUUACUGGGCGUAAAGGGCACGCAGGCGGUUAAUUAAGUUGGAUGUGAAAUCCCCGGGCUUAACCUGGGAAUGGCAUUCAAGACUGGUUAGCUAGAGUCUUGUAGAGGGGGUAGAAUUCCAUGUGUAGCGGUGAAAUGCGUAGAGAUGUGGAGGAAUACCGGUGGCGAAGGCGGCCCCUGGCAAAGGACUGACGCUCAUGUGCGAAAGCGUGGGGAGCGAAACAGGGAUUAGAUACC
rnacentral:rRNA from 1 species